rnacentral:rRNA from 1 species
UAAGCGGAGGAAAAGAAACUAACAAGGAUUCCCUUAGUAACGGCGAGUGAACCGGGAAAAGCUCAAAUUUGUAAUCUGGCUGUCUUCGAUAGUCCGAGUUGUAAUCUAUAGACGUGUUUUCCGUGCUGGACCGUAUCUAAGUCCCUUGGAACAGGGUAUCAAAGAGGGUGACAAUCCCGUGCUUGAUACGACCACCAGUGCUCUGUGAUACACGCUCUACGAGUCGAGUUGUUUGGGAAUGCAGCUCAAAAUGGGUGGUAAAUUCCAUCUAAAGCUAAAUAUUGGCGAGAGACCGAUAGCGAACAAGUACCGUGAGGGAAAGAUGAAAAGCACUUUGGAAAGAGAGUUAAACAGUACGUGAAAUUGUUGAAAGGGAAACGAUUGAAGUCAGUCGUGUUCUUUGGAUUCAGCUAGUUCUUCUAGUCUACUUCCUUUGAACGGGUCAACAUCAGUUUUGUCCGGUGGAUAAAGGUAGUAGGAAUGUAGCUCCCUCGGGAGUGUUAUAGACUAUUAUUGCAUGCACUGGGUGAGACUGAGGACUGCAGCUCGCCUUUUGGCCGGCCUUCGGGUACGUUCGAGCUUAGGAUGUGACAUAAUGGCUUGAAACGACCCG